GACGAACGCUGGCGGCGUGCCUAAUACAUGCAAGUAGAACGCUGAAGGAGGAGCUUGCUUCUCUGGAUGAGUUGCGAACGGGUGAGUAACGCGUAGGUAACCUGCCUGGUAGCGGGGGAUAACUAUUGGAAACGAUAGCUAAUACCGCAUAACAGUAGAUGUUGCAUGACAUUUGCUUAAAAGGUGCAAUUGCAUCACUACCAGAUGGACCUGCGUUGUAUUAGCUAGUUGGUGGGGUAACGGCUCACCAAGGCGACGAUACAUAGCCGACCUGAGAGGGUGAUCGGCCACACUGGGACUGAGACACGGCCCAGACUCCUACGGGAGGCAGCUGUAGGGAAUCUUCGGCAAUGGACGGAAGUCUGACCGAGCAACGCCGCGUGAGUGAAGAAGGUUUUCGGAUCGUAAAGCUCUGUUGUAAGAGAAGAACGAGUGUGAGAGUGGAAAGUUCACACUGUGACGGUAUCUACCA
rnacentral:rRNA from 1 species